rnacentral:rRNA from 1 species
CGGGUGAGUAUCGCGUAGGGAUUUGUCGUUGGGUGGGGGAUAACCGCGGGAAACUGCGGCUAAUACCGCAUGACGCCUGUGGGCCAAAGCCGGGUGACCGGUGCCUGACGAGGAGCCUGCGUCCGAUUAGCUAGUUGGUUGGGUAAUGGCUGACCAAGGCUGUGAUCGGUAGCUGGUCUGAGAGGAUGAUCAGCCACACUGGGACUGAGACACGGCCCAG